rnacentral:lncRNA from 1 species
CACAUUUCUUCUCUGCUGUCUAAAGCUGUGGGUAGGAACUGUCUCCUAUCGUGUUUCACAAGGCACAAAUCAAGUGCCCCUGCCCUGGAGUCCUGCUGCAUGUGGCCUGGGGCAAGAGAGUCCUGAGUAUCAGGAAGCAGCAGCUGCGUGUCCUCGCCCCAACAACCAGUCUCAAAUCAGUGGAGAUCGAUUUUCAAGCCAGUGCCAUCCUAAGGAAGGUGCUGGUGUCUCUGUGCUGCUAAGGAGCAUCUCCACAUGCCAGAGCUGCAGCUCUACAGGGUGGGUAGGGGUGAGCUGGGGGAGGGAGUGAUGUCAUCAUGGUUCCAUGUAACCACUUGCUCUCUCCUGCCUUCAACUUGCUGGAUUGUGAUAGAAUAGUUUCAGGUGAUUAAUAACACACAUGUAGUCUAGCUGUUCUUGUUAUGCUACUAUUACCCUGGAGUAUGACAAACUCUUAGUAGUUUGACAGGUUGUGUCUGUCCCUGCCUCGUGUAGGAUCUAGAAUAAAGUGAAUGAACUAACUGCUCCUGGCCUUCCUGAUGAUUUCUCAGGUCCGCCUGGGGCGCCUGUGUCCUUCUGUUGGGUUAAAUAGUGGUUAUGACACUUGGGGACAUGGUUUAGUCAUAAACAUGGCAGUGUUGGGUUAACAGUUGGGCUCUAUGAACUUAGAGGUCUUUUCCAGCCUAAAUAAUUCUGUAAUUCUAAGCAGCAAUAAAGACUGGUGUUGUGAGAGGCAGCUGGAGGUAAAGCAGAAAUUGGCCCUGCCAUGUCUUGCACACAAAGUAGUGUCAUAGAGGUGACUCAGAGUAUUAACUGGCUUAACCCUUUGCAGCAGCUCUGCAAACCAGUGGUACAGGGUGACUGUGGCUGCAGAAGGAGUGCCCAGGACCUUCCUGGCUGUGGUUACUGCAGGCAGGGAUGGAACUGGACUCUGACCUGCCAGGAGAGCAGGCAGGCACCAGGGGACCUUUGAGUUCUGCCAGCCUGCUUGUUUCAUGAUCCUUCAACUCAGCCCUUUGUGCCCAACCUGAAGAAAUGAAGGUAGUAUGGGGUGGAGCUGAGUUGCUCUCUGCCAUCGCCUUGCUGUGGAAUGCAACAAGGAGACAUGACAUGGGGUGGCACACCCCAUGUUCGGGGGGAGGUCGGGUUGGGUGCUUUUGGGUGUAAUGGCCUCACUCCUGCUG